GGUCUCUCUGCCAGCUGGUGAACCUUCUCCAGGAAAUCUACAUGCCCAAUAUGGAACAGGUCAAAGGCUCCGGCCACGUAGAUGAUAGUAUCUCCUGGCUGUGGUUCCUUCCCUGAUGCAAACUGGAUGAUCUUCUGAGAUGUCUGCAGGAACUGCGAGACACCGGUCCAAGGACUAUGACCCUUUGGUCCCUUCCCAAAGUUGUCAGUGUGCUUCCGAUAGUCUAGGUCCUCAUCUAUGUUGCUGUGGUGAGCCUUAGUCAUGAGCAGCAUGCGGCCAACGAGGUCGGUAGUGGACACACCUUGAGUGCGUUUGCAUUCCCUGUAUCGCCCGGCUGUCUUCACUUCCUCGUAGGUGUCCUUGCCGUCUAUCGUUAAGGUGAUGUCAUCGCCGUGCACGCAGAAGUCGCAGUUAUAUUUGUCCAAGGUUUCCAGCGUGGUGACAUAAGGAGCCCCGGGCGCAAUCUCAUCCACCCACUUGAUGGCUUGCACCAUCUUGUACCUCUCCUCCUGCGUGAAGACGGGGGGGCCCUUAUGCUUGGCGAUCUCCUCGUCCGUGUGCACUCCCACGAUCAGAUAAUCGCCCAUGGCCCGCGCCUGGCGCAGCUGGUUGGAGUGGCCGUAGUGCACCAUAUCGUAGCAGCCGUCGCACCAGACGCGCACGGGCCGCUGUGCCGCCGCGCCGCCCCCCGCCGCCCCGUUGCGCAGCAUGGCCGCGCUGUCACCGGCGGCGCCGCCGCCGAGCGGGACCUCCCGCCCGCCCCGCCCCGCGCCCGCCCCCGCCGCCAUCUUGGGGCGCGUCAGCACCGGCGGCCGGGGCGGGCCGACGCCCCGCGCUCCGUCUCGCCCCGCCCCGCCCCGCCCCCGCCGUCAGUUGCUCUUCCUGCGCCGGGUGCCCUUAGCGCAGCCGCGGCCCAACCAGCCGCCGGGCCGGGCGGGGGGUUCGUCCCGCGGUGCCGCUGCCGGCUCGGUGCCCUGCGGCGGGGCCACCGGCUUCCGGCUGUGCGUGCCCUCCUCCUCGGGGCGCAGCGGCUCGGCCAGCGCGAAGAUGGGGUCCCGCGCCCGCUCGUAGCCGGGGAUCUGCAGGCCCAGCUCCUCCAUCAGCAGCCGCAUGACGUCGUCGCAGCGGCCGUGCAGCUUCAGGGCAGCCAGGUCGUCCUUGGGCGUCCACUGCGAGGCGACAGCGGGACACCGCGGCGCUGCAGCACCCGCUGCGAGGGGCUUCACCCCACCUCCCGGCCCAGGACUGGGAAGGCGCUCACCUGCAGGUUGACGAUAUAGAGCUUUGGACGACGAGGUGGGGGUUUGCUCAUGCACCAAAGGCGGGGGUAUUUUUUCAAAACCUGCCACAAAACAGAACUGAUCAGCACAGCCAAAGGCACGCGUAACCCUGAACCGUAGCAGCGAGAGGAGAAGGAAUGUAUUACCAGGAGGGGAAAGAGGGAGGAAGAGAGACUAUCACACAGAUGGUGGGCGAAUCCUGACACCAGAGUUUACAGUUGUCUGUUUGGGAGGAGACUGCUCAGCACCAAGGUGUGUCACCAAGAGGGAAUGCUGCUAACAAUCUUCACCGAGUCUCUAAAGUUACCUUUAAGCUGGAACCCAGACAAAGAAUCACAUCUGCUUUGCUUGCAGCUUCUGUUGCUGCUUCCCAGUUCAGGGGCUGUGUCAGUGUCCCCUUCUCCCCAAAGUGGACGAUUGUAUCUCUCAACUGCGCCCCACACUUGUGGCACAUCCUGCCAGUGUGGUGCUUGUGCAGGGCUGUGCGUUCUGUCACGUCAAAUACUCGCACAUACUCUCUGUUGGGUGUACACGAAGUGCAGACCUAUAGCACAGGAAGGAAAAAACGUAGUACUGUCGGUAUCUGGUCCAUCAGAGCCCAGGGCUGCAGCCACGCCUCAGAGAAAAGCACCUUCUGGGGACAACAAACCUGGGAGCAGUAGAAGGAAUCAUCUGUGUUUAGAUGCUAACUUGGAAGCAUUGAGAAACACUCAACUAGUGAGUGGCAUUACAGGGGGCUGGGCAAUAGGAGGGGUUUUCAGGCAAGGCCUGAAGAACUGUGCCCAGAAGCAGAAGGCUCUAGCAGAUACAGAGAAAAAACUGCCAGGUUGUACAGAAAACUUAACUUUGGGGCUUGCUAAGUAGUUCACCCAAAAACGGACAACCUAAAGAUACAAACUAAGCUGAGACUGGCCCUCGUGCUAAUUCUUCAGUCAGGGAGAAACAGUUAAUAUUAUCUUUUUACAAGGCCAAUACUGACAGUACCUCUGUACUUUUCUAGCUGCUCACCUCUAUGUACAUGUUUCCAUGAAGCUCAGAGAUUGCUGAUCGAGGUAACCCACUUCGCAGGUGCAGCCCAUCACAGUUUUGAGAUACCACAUGCUGCACCUGGAAGAGAAUAAAACACUGAAAUAACACACAUAGAGAAGACUCUGAAAGUAUUACUCCAAUGCAGGUAAUACGUAUGUCUCAGUGUGCAAUAAACAGUUCUGCUUCAAUACACUGAGCUAACAGAAGAAAAGCACAGAGAGCAGAACUCUGUGAAAGCUAAAGAGACUCCUGCUAAAUACAGCUCUGUUAGGCCUGGCAGACUUUGUGGUCAUGUCCCCAGACCACAGCCUCACCAGGAGGCCAACAAAAGCUAUUGAAGAAAGGCACAAGGGAAAAACUGCGGGAGACACAGUCUGGAUGUGGCCUGAUAAAGGCUCGGCUAUACAGAAACACAGGUGAUUGCUCCUACACAGAUGUAGCCGCUUCACUAAGGACAACAGUUAUGCAGUAUUGUGAAAAACAUCUUUUUCCUUUUUGAUCUGAUUUAUUACACUGUGACAGUGGAGCACAAGUCAUGGACAGAAAAGGAGAUCUUACCAGGUUAUGCUUGUGUAAGCAAGCAAUGCUCAUAUGGGUGAGCGUGGGCUCUGCCUCACUCAGAUCUGUAGUGCUGACAAGAGGCAAAAAAAAAAAAAAAAGGUAAGAAAUUGCCAUUAAAACUCUCAGCUGUCUGUUGGGCAGCUCAAAAUUCAUCUCCUGAGUAGCUGCAGAACUGUCCUUCCAGGAAAGAGAAAGGAAGAGUUCGCUACAGUCACCUUACCUGAUGCUCCUGCCCUUCUGCAGCAAUGUCCAAAUGCCAUUGGGGCCUCGGUAGUCUGGGAUCGAAGCUGCCUGUGUUAUUGAGAGAGACAAAGCACGGCCUGAGGGGAAAGUUCAUACCUCUUGUCCACCAACACAUCGACCUGGCCUCACCCAGGACAGCGAGAUACUGCAUUCACUGCUGCUUUUUCGGUCACUCCAAGUUUUCUAGUGUUUUCCUAAUUAUAGAGAGCUCUUUUCCUACCUUGCACUUCUCAUUUUCACCUCCAGUGUUUAUUUUCUCCAAUUUUACCACUAUGAAAUCCCUCCAGAACACUCUUCUCCCCUAGGUACUUCCCAUUUCCCCAGACAGAACCCAUUCAUUGAACCUUUAAUUAUUUACACUCUACUGAUUCCUGGUAGCUUGAACUCAGUGUUCUUUAAAAAAAAGCGUCUAUGACCUUAACACUUUUUCAUCCACUCUGCCCAGCUCCAUGCUCCCUAUCAGCUGAGACUGCAGAAAAGGGGAAGAACGAUAAGGUUCCCAUCUCAGAGUUCAGACAAAAGUGACAAAUGUGACGUGCAAAGAGGCAGCUCCAGAUUUCCAUUCUUGUAAGAGGCCACAGAAACCAUUUUUAAGCCAUCAUGUUUAACCUCUAGUAACCACUCGUUAUUUCUAAAUUGUUUAUUAAUGCAGACUGCAUUAAGCAGCUAACAACUUCUUUUAGGUUUUGCAGCAAAAGUAGCUGAAGAGACUCGAACGAAGACAGACUACUGAUCUCAUUUUAGAAGCUUGUUCUUUGCAUAGAGGUGAUGCAGCCUCAGAAUCUCUUGGCCAGAAGGAAUAUCCCAAGAUGCAAAUUAGUUAACAUCUUGGUCAUGGUUUGUAAUUCAACAAUGUUAAUAUAGAAUCCCAGAUAUCCUCUGGGCAGCCUGGUCUGGUGUUUGGCAACCCUGCACGUAGCAGGGGGUUGAGACUAGAUGAUCACUGUGGUCCUUUUCAAUCCAGGCCAUUCUUUGAUUCUAUGACAUCCCAUGGUCAUUUGGAAUCCACAAAAAACAGAGUUCAAACAUUGCAACACUCCUGAAGGAGCUCCCAAAGCUCCAGCCACUCACCCCCAAAGAAUCCUACCGUACUGAUCCCUGCUCCUGUGUAGAUGACAAGGUGCUUGGCAUUCCGGAUAGCAGCAGCCAGCUCAAUGACCUUUCUCUUCAGCUCCUCUGGCUCAUCACAUACCUCCUCCUGCCGCCGGCGCAGCCUCUCGCGCCUCUUGCGGCGCCUCUCCAGCUCCCGGACGAUGUCCUCGCUCUCGCUCAGCACCUGACACUCCUCGGGGCUCCGUUCCGCCGGCGGCUUCCUCCAGAUGCGGGAAACCUGUCUCCGCCGGUCCCGCUGCUCCUCCUGCUGAAGGAUCUCGGCGCGCGCCGCCGCCUUCCGCUCCGAGCGGCUGAGGCUGCCGCCGGCCGCC
rnacentral:lncRNA from 1 species